CACGUAGUUAGCCGGCGCUUCUUCUGCAGGUACCGUCACUCUCGCUUCUUCCCUACUGAAAGGGGUUUACAACCCGAAGGCCGUCAUCCCCCACGCGGCGUCGCUGCAUCAGGCUUUCGCCCAUUGUGCAAUAUUCCCCACUGCUGCCUCCCGUAGGAGUCUGGGCCGUGUCUCAGUCCCAGUGUGGCCGGUCGCCCUCUCAGGCCGGCUACCCGUCAUCGUCUUGGUGAGCCAUCACCUCACCAACAAACUGAUAGGCCGCGAGUCCAUCCCCCACCGAUAAAUCUUUCCAACACCCACCAUGCGAUGAGUGCUCAUAUCCGGUAUUAGCCACGAUUUCCCGAGGUUAUCCCGAAGUGGAGGGCAGGUUACUCACGUGUUACUCACCCGUUCGCCACUAAUCAGGCGGUGCAAGCACCACCGUCAUCGUUCGACUUGCAUGUGUUAAGCACGCCGCCAGCGUUCGUCCUGAGCCAGGAUCAAACUCU
rnacentral:rRNA from 1 species